GGUUGCUUUGUGAUCUGCUGGACGCCUGGCCUGGUCUUGCUGCUACUUGACGGUGUGGGCUGUGAAAGGGACACUGACAUGAGGAGGACCUUCAAGGAGAUCCUGUGCUACCCGUGCCAGCAAGGCAAAACCGACAGGGGCAACUCUGGAAUGCAGUUUAACACCCUGGAGCGCGAGGUACUGUCCGAAAGCAAUGGAGGUGACGACCGCAGUCACAAACAAAACAGCCACUCGCACUAAGGACUGUUGACAACAAA